rnacentral:rRNA from 1 species
GACGAACCGUGCGAACGUUAUUCGGAAUCACUGGGCUUAAAGCGCGUGUAGGCGGGAGGGCACGUCCGACGUUGAAAGCCCCCGGCUCAACCGGGGAACGGGCGCGGAUACGACCUUCCUGGAGGGACGUGGGGGGACCUGGAACUUCCGGUGGAGCGGUGAAAUGCGUUGAGAUCGGAAGGAACGCCCGUGGCGAAAGCGAGGUCCUGGACGUUUUCUGACGCUGAGACGCGAAAGCCAGGGGAGCGAACGGG